CCCCGCUCCUUCCUCUUCAGUGCGAGUGAGCACGAGCCUGGACUUUCGGGGACUCCCUUCCCCUAGCCUCGCAGAGACCUUCCGUGGCUCCCCGCCCCCAGUCCCGCCGCUCAGACGUGGCUGCUGGGGGGGGGCCAGGGGGUGCGGUAUAAAGGGCGGGAGGCAGCGCGGGCCGAGACCCGAGACGUGGCGCGUCCACUCUGCUGGCCUCGACUCCAGCCACAUGGUUAAACUGCCCCCUCAGAGGAGAGUAGCAGGGAGGGGGCUGCUGGAUGCUGGAUGCUCCCAGAAGAGAUCCCGAUGCUGCUGUGGCUCACAAGUGACCUUAAAAGGAACCCUCGCUGUGUGUGAGCCUUAGGAUGCAACGAGCUUGUAUUAAUAUCCUGAAAAACCUCAGCCCGGAAAGCGUGGUUCUGGAUGUUUACAUCUUAACUGGAUUUUCCUACCAGAGAGCCGGGGCACAUUACAGUCUUCAUCCGCAAGUAUUCUCUUUUCAGUCCUGUUUUUCUUCUUUUAUAUUCAUGGCAUCCAAGAAUUCACAAAAAGUGCUAGAUCAUCUGAUCGACCCCAUCAGUUGUUUUCUUAACAUGGCCAGACACAGGUAAAAAGAUAUGUCAUUUUAUGCCCCACUCAAAUUGCCUAGUCCUAUUUCUUGUUCAUGUAUUUUAAGUCUUUGGAAGACCCAUGGUUAUGGUUACAGGUGACACUGUGCUGCUCCCCAAAGUUAGGACAGAUGAAGAAUCACCAAGAGGGCCGAGUUCAGGGACUCAUCAGCUCUUCCCCGCAUCCCUUGAGCCCCACCAGAAACUCUUUAGGAUUUUUUUUUUUUGCCCAGGAAAUGCUCACCCCACUUUUAGUGCAGCAGCCUACUGUCCUGGCAGAGGUAAGCAGACCAGGUUUGUUCCAAAAGAGCAGCCCAGAAACUAGGACAGAAUAGAAAGAAAAUAGUACGGCACAUCUGAGAAUGAGCAUUAAUGAGCAUGGGACAAAGCGCAGGUUCCUGGAACUUAAAUGGAAGGACCAGGUCAACCACAAGGACACCAGUAGCCUGCCAGUCGGUGCAUGGGACACUCCAUCUUGUCCCCUUCUCCAAAGUCUGAGUUUCCACCUGAGUCCAUCCAGGGCCCGCUUCUGGCUUCCCGGGUCUGGUCAGGGGAACACGCUCUGCCACUGCUGGUUGUUCUGUGCAGGAUGGCACAGAGUGACUUGGCCCUGGCCCCAUCCGGGUCAGAUCUGCUCACCUAUGAGCUCUCCUGAGCUCACUCCACAAGUAAAAGCCCCCUUCCCAGACCUCACAGCCACGUUGAAGGGAGCAGCCUGCUUAAAAUCCACCCACUAGGAACCACAGCGCAAACUCAAGGAUGCAACAGCCAGAGCAUAUAUUCAACAAGAAAUGCUGACUUAUUUUUGACUUAGAAAAGUUGCGUAAUUAACCUCACUUUUAGGAAGGGCCUAUUAAUAAAAGACAUUGUUAUUUUACUUCAGCUAUGUAUCCAGAAGGUCAAAGUAGUCUAGAAAUCUGAGUGUAUUUUUUCCUUGUGUUUAUGGUUAAAUUUCUAGAUAUAUUUUUCUAGCAACCCAGUUUCCUUAAAAUAAAAUAAUAUGCUCAAAAUACCUCAAGUCAUCUCUUUUUAAGUGUGGUAUGGGGAGAAGAAAAAAAUGCCAAGUGUAGAAGAUUUUUGGAAUUUCUAGAGGAAAUGCAAAUGACUUGCAGCAUGGAGAUAAAGCAUUUGUAUGGUUUCCUGAGAGUAAUUUUCUGACUUUGAGCGCUGUGUAUACCUUGAGUAUCUAUAAGCAAAGAAUAGAUGUACUUUAAAAAAAAUAUGUUUAAUACUUA